rnacentral:sRNA from 1 species
GUUGAUUCUUCUUCCAUUAGAAAGUAGAUUCGAAUAGCUUCGAUUCGAGUACUCAUACGCGUAAUUCCGACAUCGGGAAGGGGUUCAACCAGACUGACAAAGUUGUCCGAGUGAGUGUACACGUUUUUGACGCGUUUUACUGUUUAAACGCGUUUUACUGUUUAAACGCGUUUCUGGCCAAAUGUUUGGCUAUUUAAGGACGUCCCAGGGGUUGGAAUGGUUCCUAAGUUGAACCAAAGGCUAGAGUACGAAGGUUUUGGAGCAGAGGGACUUUAGAGCUGUGAUUUGAGUCGGGGGAAACGUUCGCAAAGUGUUUCGAAAGGCUAGCUGAGGAGAAAACCAAGUUGGUGAUAUGCCGGUGGAGCAAGCUUUAGACGGAGGAUCGACGGAAGCUUAGUUAUAAGAAUGAGACUUAUACUUUUAGUCUCUGUUUUAAGCUUGAAUUGUAUUUAGUUUGAAUUAUGAGUGAGGGUUUGUAUAAUAAUGAGGAAAACUGUUAUUCCUCCUCCUAUCAACUGUUCUAUUGUAUCAAUGAUAUAAGAAC